UUAAUUUUCUUGCAAUGAUUCAUUAGAAAUGUUUGGUGUAAAACCUCAUACCGAUAAAUCCGAAAUUCUAUCGGGCACAGAAUGUUUUUCCUAAGUGCCCGUCUGCACCUUUGUCUCAAGGUCGUUUGUUCCCUUGACCCCAAUGGCCAAUCCUUGAAAAGAGGUAUGUGAUAUUGACAGAAGUACAGUACAGGACUGCACAGUUGACAAGUAUGCAAGGAAGUAAGCAAGGGGAAAUUUUCACCUCAUUUAUAUCAUUUGCUGUUCACAUUUCCAUCAGUAAGCCCAUCAUCAUUCAGUCUACCCUACAUUAACAUAGAACUGUAACUGUCAGGGGAGAGGGGGUUUGGUAGAGUGGCAUGGUCCUGGUCUGUUGUCAUCCUCACAGUCACUGUUGGACACCUCAGCAGAGUUAGGUUGAGGAUCCUUUGCUUGCUGUGUCCUCUCAUCCACUAGCAUUUAGGCACCUGUUGCUGCAACACUACCUGUUCAGAGUCAAGCUGGCCUGUCAUUUCUCCAGGGAUGCCUGUUGUCUCAGUGAUUUCAGGCAUCAUUCACCAUUGUUGUUCCUUGGCUGGGCCGCAGUGUCAGCCACAUAAGUUGCAACGUCAGCAUCACUAGUACUGUCUGACCUGUCUUCACCUGAAAAGAAACGACUAAGGGUGCAAGACCCCCAGAUCAGCAGAGCACCUGCUGUCAGAUUUGGUACUACAUGUAGGACAUGGCACGUACCCCCUUGAUUCCCCUUCAUGUACCUCGUUCAAAACGAUCAAAUUUAACUCAGAAAAUGGAAAGAAAAUUGUCACUCAAAUAAAAUGUACAUUAGGACAUUGGAAGGUGCAUUGUCCCCAAAAGAACAGGAAUAGACAGGAGAGUCACUUGAAUGCUCAGGACAGCAUGAACCAAACUCAAAAGCCCAGAUCUGUUCAUUCUGAGUUUAGUGACACAGACACAAAGAACUUGAUAUUUGUAGCCAAAAGGGGGUUUGAUUUAAAAGAGAGCCAGGUGUGGGAACCAUACUUGCAUUCCUGCAUGUAAUCCUCAGGAUUAAGAUAUCUCUUUGUAAAGUCUAAUGCAGUGUAUGUUGUAGUAAAUUCUAGAUCGUUGAGGAAUUAGUUCCUGAAAUAUGAGACAGGGAGAGAAAUUUUUCUUCCAUUUCACAGCCUAAUAACAUUAGAUACAUAAAAUACUUAGGAUGCAAAGAACUGUUUAGUGAUGCAUCACAACAAGAGUUAAUGUUACCUGAUAUUAAGAUAGUGUGCCUUUAUUUGAAACAUCUGAUAUUAUUUUAAUGACGUAAAAUCACACAUUAAAGCAGCAAUCUUACGUCAUUACAUCAUGUUUGCUAAUGAUACUCGUGCAUUUUUCUAAGUUCUGCACAUUGUGUGAUAGAGUUUCAAUAAUAUUAGUUUGUUUACAUAAAAACAUUUUUUUUAUACUACUAUUUUUGUGAAUUUUUUCCUCAUUCCCUUUCAGCCCGUGAACUGCCCUGCUGACUGUGAUGACGUCACAUUGGCUACAGAUGACUGUGUUGUGUCAAACUGUUCAGGGGAUCUGCAGUGCUUUCCAGUUGGAAAUGGUACUGUUCCAGAAGACCCCAGUUUUGUGGUGACAGCCCAUCGCAG